GGACGGUUAUCUCAGUGGUUUGAGCGUGGUGCUGACAACAAUAACACUGAGUUCGCGGGUUCGAUUCCCGCUCGGUCCC
rnacentral:tRNA from 1 species